rnacentral:rRNA from 1 species
AGAAAAAGUUACAAGGGCGUAUGGCGGAUGCCUAGGCUUCUGAUAGCGAAGAAG